rnacentral:tRNA from 2 species
GUUAUAAUAAUUUAAAAAAAAUAAUGGUUUUGUAAACCAAAUUUGAUACAUUCUUAUAACU